ACAUAGAAGCAUCAUAGACUAUCUAUAAAAUUGGGACUGUAGUGUGCCAUGUAGAAAGCACCGUGGGAAAUUUCUGGAAAUUCUUACCCAUGUUUUCCUCCAGCUUCGCAUCAUCUUGUCAUGUUCAGUGAUGGCACUUCUCCAGGUAUGGAAUUCUUUGGCCCAUGCAUCCUGACCAGCACUAUCUGAGAAUUGUACAUGGGGAUGAAGUAAGUGGAUGGUAUCUGUUCAGUUGUAAUACUUCAUGUGGAGGACUGGGAAAGAAGGAACGAAAGCCACCAUUUUGUCCUUUGUUUUGUUCUACCUCUUCUCAUGAUAUUUGGAAGUAAGGACACAAGCAUCAAUAUACAGUACUUCUGGAGCACAUUGAAAGCCUCCCUCUGCUUUACAUUUACAGUUGUUUCAUUGAGAUGACCUUCAUUCUGCUACC